rnacentral:rRNA from 1 species
GAUGAACGCUGGCGGCGUGCCUAAUACAUGCAAGUCGAGCGAACAGACGAGGAGCUUGCUCCUCUGACGUUAGCGGCGGACGGGUGAGUAACACGUGGAUAACCUACCUAUAAGACUGGGAUAACUUCGGGAAACCGGAGCUAAUACCGGAUAAUAUAUUGAACCGCAUGGUUCAAUAGUGAAAGACGGUUUUGCUGUCACUUAUAGAUGGAUCCGCGCCGCAUUAGCUAGUUGGUAAGUUAACGGCUUACCAAGGCAACGAUGCGUAGCCGACCUGAGAGGGUGAUCGGCCACACUGGAACUGAGACACGGUCCAGACUCCUACGGGAGGCAGCAGUAGGGAAUCUUCCGCAAAGGGCGAAAGCCUGACGGAGCAACGCCGCGUGAGUGAUGAAGGUCUUCGGAUCGUAAAACUCUGUUAUUAGGGAAGAACAAAUGUGUAAGUAACUAUGCACGUCUUGACGGUACCUAAUCAGAAAGCCACGGCUAACUACGUG